UAGCAGCCCUGUCUUUAUGGUCACACACAGGUGGGCUUGGGAGCUCCGUGAUGGUCUGGUGGGAAUGAUUAUACGUGGACAUAAGCCUCUGCCAAAUGCUGGGAAGAGUUAGGUGACUUCAGCAUAGUUCCUGCCUUGUUGUUGAGGUGGAGGGCUUAGUUUACAUUUCCCGGCCCUUUUUCUUGUCAGUCACCAUCUUCUUGAUGACCAACAGCAUAUCGAUGAUUCACAGGACUGCUGCCGUGGCGCACAGGAUCUGUCAGACACAAGACAGGUGGGAAGGAAAGAUUACUGUAUAACCAGCUCAGCAUCCGUCUCUCAUUCCUAUUUCUCUCCGACUACCGGGUCGAGAGCUGCAACCAGUCCCUUUCCGGCUGCUGUGGGCCAGGUUUGUCUUUCUAAGAGGAAGGGAAACAGUGACGUUUGCAGCCCACAGUGACCUGAUCAUACGACUAUCUACUGCACUGUGGUUCUCAACAUACAAGUCGUCACCCUUGGGCCCACUGGCCCUUUCAAGGGGUUACCUGAGACCAACAGAAAACCAGGAUCCUCCAAGGAUGCCAUUGCCCCCAGACAGCAGGAAGUCAAUUUAAGGAUAUCACACCCGCAUUCCUGAGAGUUGGGCUGUUCUACUCUCAAACCAUCCAUUGUGGAACUAUACAGAGACCUGACUGCCUGCAUCAUAUUAUUUCCUAUUUUUUUUAACGUGGGAAAAAUCCCUAUUUUUCUCUUUCUAAUCUAAUCCUCUUUAAGAACUCCCAGGAGUCUCGUCAGGUCUGCCUGAAGGAACGCAGAGCCAGCCAGUUGCAGGUGAUUAACGCCUUCGGGAGCCCAGGCACCCCUGGGGUUUGGGGCCUGUGCAGUUUGGACAGCAGCUGGAGACUGUUGUAGAGAGGCUACCACAGGAAUAUCCCAGACUCAGUCAGAGGGCUUGGGGCAAGAAAGGAGAAGCCAGCCUGAGGCCCAGCUGCUGCUCCAGCUGCUGUGGCUGUGUUCACUGCAAAGCCAGGGGGAGUGGCUACCUUGUGAUUUACUGCUCUGAGUUGGAUGCCCGGAGAUGUGUUUGUCUAAUUAUUCUUUAUCAAUAAAAGAUCGGGAGUCAGAUAUAGGGGUAAGAACCUGACUGACCAGAGAAGCUGCAGAGUAGCCACCAGUGACCGCCUGUCUUUUUCCACUCCUCCACCCAACAGGACUGAGGUGCUCUCUCAGAUGCACCUUCAUAUUCCUGCCUCCUGUCUGUCCUCCAGAGCCUCUCCGGUUAAUUUAGGUCAGUUUGUGGAUAGCUCCACCCUCUGACUUGAAACAAGCUUUAUUGUCAGAAUGCCAUCAAACGAUCACACACUGCAUAGCCUUCCUGUGCACGGCUUCCCUAGUGGCAAGCAGUGCUUCUGGGGCAUGUGCUCACUUCCAUGACUGAUCUGUGAGCUUUCUCUUUUAUGUCUUGUUAAAGGCUUAUUGUGUGUAUGUACGCUUUCCUGGGUGGGGUAUGUGAAUCGAGUGUAGCUGCACGUGGAGGCCUGAGGCGGCCUUGGAUUGUGGAGCUGGGUUGCAGGCAGUUGUCAGCCACCCUAUCUGGGGUCCUCUCUAAGUGCAGGAUGCUUUCCUCACAGAGCCAUCUCUCUAGUCCCCUUCAAAGCUCAGCCCUGUCUGUGGACUCCAUUUUUUUUGAAUUCCCGAGACAAGGACCCGGAGCUAACUGCUGUGCUAGGCACGCCUGCGACGAGAAGUCUGCGCGCGCUCAGAAGACCACCACUUGUUUGUUUCUCCAUUUCAGGCUCAGGACUCCAGGCUCCUCCUUACAGCUCUCCUCCCUCAGAUGUCUGCUAGAGCCUUCACUUUCCCUCAGGAGGAUGACUCCCUUCCAGGGUGGCUAGACCAUCUAGGGCAGUGGUUCUCAGCCUGUGGGUCGAGAUCCCUCGGGGGGCCUUGUUCUCCGCACUGAAAUUUCUAGGAGCUUCUGUGGGAUGAAGAGCACUGGACAGAUUGUCCGACUUCUAGUAUAAAAUCCAUUUAAA